UACGAAGGGGGCUAGCGUUGUUCGGAUUUACUGGGCGUAAAGCGCACGUAGGCGGAUCGUUAAGUCGGGGGUGAAAUCCUGGAGCUCAACUCCAGAACUGCCUUCGAUACUGGCGAUCUUGAGUCCGGAAGAGGUGAGUGGAACUCCUAGUGUAGAGGUGGAAUUCGUAGAUAUUAGGAAGAACACCAGUGGCGAAGGCGCUCCCUGGCCGAACACUGACGCUGAGACGCGAAAGCGUGGGGAGCGAACGGG
rnacentral:rRNA from 1 species